UUCAUUUUGCUUCAAGCCUUGCUAUCAUAGUUAAUCUUGCACAUAUAAGAACACACUUCGAUCUAGAUAAUUAAUACUAAGCAUUAAUUAAGUUGUUUGGCAUGUCAUUGGUCCCUCGACGCUUCGUUUGAUUCUUCGGUGUAUCGUCCUCUCUUGUGGCCUAUUGCCCAAUCGGUUAGUUGACUCUGCAACUCCGAUAUCCUUAGCGUAAUAUCCGCUCUUCUUGG
rnacentral:lncRNA from 1 species